rnacentral:tRNA from 1 species
GCGUCGGUAGUUUAAUUGGUUAAAAUUCCCGUCUCCAAAACGGGCGAUCUGAGAGUUCGAGUCUCUCCCGGCGCG